AUUGAACGCUGGCGGCAUGCCUUACACAUGCAAGUCGAACGGCAGCACGGGUGCUUGCACCUGGUGGCGAGUGGCGAACGGGUGAGUAAUAUAUCGGAACGUACCUUAUUGUGGGGGAUAAUGCAGCGAAAGCUGUGCUAAUACCGCAUAAUCCCUAAGGGGGAAAGCGGGGGACCGUAAGGCCUCGCGCAAUUAGAGCGGCCGAUACCUGAUUAGCUAGUUGGUGAGGUAAAGGCUCACCAAGGCAACGAUCAGUAGCUGGUCUGAGAGGACGAUCAGCCACACUGGGACUGCGACACGGCCCAGACUCCUACGGGAGGCAGCAGUGGGGAAUUUUGGACAAUGGGGGCAACCCUGAUCCAGCAAUGCCGCGUGAGUGAAGAAGGCCUUCGGGUUGUAAACUGCUUUUGUACAGAGCGAAAAGCUCUGGGUUAAUACCCUGGGGUCAUGACGGUACUGUAAGAAUAAGCACCGGCUAACUACGUGCCAGCAGCCGCCGUAA
rnacentral:rRNA from 1 species